rnacentral:rRNA from 1 species
CUACGGGCGGCAGCAGUGAGGAAUUUUGCGCAAUGGGGGAAACCCUGACGCAGCAACGCCGCGUGAGUGAAGAAGGCCCUUGGGUCGUAAAGCUCUGUCAAUGGGGAAGAAGUUACUUGGUAUUAAUAGUGCCUUGUAUUGACGGUACCCAUGAAGGAAGCACCGGCUAACUCCGUGCCAGCAGCCGCGGUAAUACGGGGGGUGCAAGCGUUAUUCGGAAUUAUUGAGCGUAAAGGGCACGCAGGCGGUCCUGUCAGUCAGAUGUGAAAGCCCGGGGCUCAACCCCGGACGUGCAUUUGAAACAGCAGGACUUGAGUACGGGAGAGGAAAGGGGAAUUCCUGGUGUAGAGGUGAAAUUCGUAGAUAUUAGGAGGAACACCGGUGGCGAAGGCGCCUUUCUGGACCGAUACUGACGCUGAGGUGCGAAGGCGUGGGUAGCGAACGGGAUUAGAUACCCUAGUAGUC